rnacentral:lncRNA from 1 species
CGGUGCCUUCCUAUGGAGGCCAAUGACAAACUGUAGCUCACUGUUGUCUUCCUUCCUUCUUUCUUUUGACCUGACCUUUCCUUCUAGACCCAUGUGAGAGACCAAGGCACAGUACCUGGGAGUGGCAGCCACUGAGAUCUUCCCAGACCCGGCUUGGACCCAUCAAAGGAAAUCUGCACCUCCUUUCACCUCCUUUCACCUUCCUCUUAGCUGGUGGCUUUGUUUUGGCCCCUAAUAUGCUUUGUUCUGCUCUCCCUGGAGAUUUGUUCAUCUCUGAAUUUAUCCAAAAACAGUAGCAUGCAAGAGUUCCUUUGCACCACCUCUUGUUGGGGAACCAAAAUCAUUGCUGAACAGAGUGCUUACCAUUCCCAGUGCUUACCAUUGCAGAGUGCUUACCAUUUCCUGGGGUAAAUAGGAACUUGUUAACUGAAUACCCAUAUCCAGAAGGUCCUCUUUCUGAAAGUAGUGAGUUCCUGUCCCAUUUGUCAGCCUGGGGAGUGGACACGUCCCUGCCCUCCCUGAUAGGUGUGAUUUUCUACCCCGACCCAUUUCCAAGAGAUCCGAGGAAGGGGCUUCCCUCAAAGUGUCUGC